CCAUAGAUUACAUCACGAUUGUGUCAC
rnacentral:piRNA from 1 species